rnacentral:rRNA from 1 species
UGGGGAAUAUUGCGCAAUGGGGGCAACUCUGACGCAGCCAUGCCGCGUGAAUGAAGAAGGCCUUCGGGUUGUAAAGUUCUUUCGGUAGCGAGGAAGGCAUUUAGUUUAAUAAACUAGGUGAUUGACGUUAACUACAGAAGAAGCACCGGCUAACUCCGUGCCAGCAGCCGCGGUAAUACGGAGGGUGCGAGCGUUAAUCGGAAUAACUGGGCGUAAAGGGCACGCAGGCGGUGACUUAAGUGAGGUGUGAAAGCCCCGGGCUUAACCUGGGAAUUGCAUUUCAUACUGGGUCGCUAGAGUACUUUAGGGAGGGGUAGAAUUCCACGUGUAGCGGUGAAAUGCGUAGAGAUGUGGAGGAAUACCGAAGGCGAAGGCAGCCCCUUGGGAAUGUACUGACGCUCAUGUGCGAAAGCGUGGGGAGCAAACAGGAUUAGAUACCCUGGUAGUCCACGCUGUAAACGAUGUCGAUUUGGGGGUCGAGCUUUGAGCUUGGCGCCCGUAGCUNNCGUGAUAAAUCGACCGCCUGGGGAGUACGGNCGCAAGGNU